GCUCUUACAUAAAGCUACAAUAAAUAGCCGAAGCUCAAGCUUUCCAGCAUCACAUCACGCCCUGCCUGUCCCCAUUUGGUGGUGGCUCUCUUCUGAUCUCUGCGGGUUAGUUCUUAAGUGCCCGUGUCCGUUGUUUACAUAUUCCGAUUUUGAUUUGGAACUACGUCACGUCACGAGUCGCCGUCUUCAAUUGCAGAUGAUGACAUAAAUUUAUUUAAAUUGAAGACGUUUUGCUCCCGGCCUCUGGGUUCUGUGUUCUGGGUUCUCUCCAAUUGUCCCGAAGAUUCCUCGCAGUCACGCGUUGAGCAUACACCGACGGUAUGAAUUUUUUGUGAGUGCUAAUGCGGCAACCUGUUCCCUCGAAAACCUUCGAAUACAGCACACACGCCUCAAGUGCACCGAAUGUGGCUCAAGUGCAGAGAUGCCUUUCACAAGUUUCUCACGACCGACCUCUCAUCGGUUGCACAUAAAGAAAUGCUGUGUUCUUUGAAUGACUGAUCAAAAAGGCGAUUAAAAGACUUUAAAUAACAUAAAUU
ensembl:ncRNA lncRNA:CR46112 long non-coding RNA:CR46112